GCGCCCGUAGCUCAGCUGGAUAGAGCGUUGGAUUCCGGUUCCAAAGGUCGUGGGUUCGACUCCCUCCGGGCGUACCA
rnacentral:tRNA from 1 species